UUUGGGAUAUUGACCAAUGAACACUCGGCGCCCUGACAAACAGGUUAGGUUGCCUUCAGGCGAACGCUGAAGCGGGAACUGCGCUUGCGCGACUGAGCAAAGAAAUUCCUGGUUCUAAUAACUCAUGUGAGAAAAUUAUUUUCCCUCCAGAGUUUGAAGUAGGUUACAGUGACACACCAAGACCAAGAAACACUCAUUAUGUCGCAUAUAGCAAGAGGAGUCUGCAACCUGAAGAAAGCUCUACCACCAGGGGCUAGAACCUUAACAAGAUUCUUAAGCCUUAACAAGAGCUAUGUCACCCGAAAGUGCAGUGAGCGAAGAAGGGCUUGCUGGCGCACCUUGCUAGACUGGAGUGAAGUUGCAACCCGGGGUUCUGAAUGGCCGGAGAGAUGAUGUCCCUUCUGGUGCAGAUCACAACACCAAUCAAAAGAGAAAAAGCAGACGAGGGAAUGAAUAGGUGGAAAGAAGCACAACAUCUGGAAAGACAAGCAGAAGCCAAAGUACAAGACUGCACCUUCAGACGCAGAACAUAAAAAUUAAAACAGUACAACAUAGCAACAGGCUUUCCGGCCCACAAUGUCCGUGCUGAACUUAAUGUCAAGUUAAAUUGAUCUCCUCUGCCUUUCUAAAAGCCUCUUAUAUGUCACUGUUGCAUCUGCCUCUACCACCAAACCUGGCAGCGGGUUCCAGGCAACCAUCACUCUCUGCAAAAAUACUUGCUUUGCACAUCUCCCUUAAACUUUGCCCCUCUCGCCUUAAAGUUAUGCCCUCAACUCUUUGACUCUGGGAACAUUGUUCUGACUGUCCACCCUAACUAUGCCUCUCAUAACUUUACAAACCGAUCAGAUCUCCCCCUAAUCUUCGACAGUCCAGAGAAAACAAUCCAAGUUUGUCCAUUCUCCCCUGAUAUGCAAUAUCCUUUAAUUAAGGCAGCAUUAUAGUAAACCUGUUCUAUACCCUCUCCAAAGCCUCCACGUCAUUUCUGUAGCGUGGUGACCAGAAUUGCCCACAAUAUUCAAAAUGCAGCCCAACCAAAAUCCAAUAAACCUGCAACAUGACUUCUAGACCUUUUAAUACUCAAUGCCCUGGCAAAUGAAGGCAAGCAUGCUAUAGUCUUUCUUACCACUCUAUUUACUUUUAUUGCCACCGUACAAUGCUGUUAAAAUUCUUGCCAGUAACUAUAUACUCUACCCGUAAAUUUAACCUCCCAAAGUUCUACACAUUACACAGUGUUUAACAUUAUUCAGGGAACGGGGGUUCCCCUCCUCCACCAUAAAUGAGGCUCGCACCUGGGUCUCUUCCAUACCCCGCAACACUGCUCUCUCUCCCCAUCCCCCCACUCGCAACAAGGGCCGAGUCCCCCUAGUCCUCACCUUUCACCCCACCAGCCGUCACAUACAAAAAGUAAUCCUCCGUCAGUUUCGCCACCUCCAACGUGACCCCACCACUCGCCACAUCUUCCCAUCUCCCCCCAUUUCUGCCUUCCGCAAAGACCGCUCCCUCCAUAACUCCCUUGUCAAUUCUUCCCUUCCCUCUUGUACCACCCCCUCCCCGGGCACUUUCCCUUGCAACCGCAAGAGAUGCAACACUUGUCCCUUUACCUCCCCCCUCGACUCCGUUCAAGGACCCAAGCAAUCGUUCCAGGUGCGACAGAGGUUUACCUGCAUCUCUUCCAACCUCAUCUAUUGCGUCCGCUGCUCUAGAUGUCAGCAGAUCUAUAUCGGUGAGACCAAGCGGAGGUUGGGCGAUCGUUUCGCCGAACACCUCCGCUCGGUCCGCAAUAACCAAGCUGACCUCCCGGUGGCUCAGCACUUCAACUCCCCCUCCCACUCCGUCUCCGACCUCUCUGUCCUGGGUCUCCUCCAUGGCCACAGCGAGCAGCACCGGAAAUUGGAGGAACAGCACCUCAUAUUCCGUUUGAGGAGUCUGCAUCCUGGGGGCAUGAACAUCGAAUUCUCCCAAUUUUGUUAGUCCUUGCUGUCUCCUCCCCUUCCUCA